GGAGAUAGGUAUCAGAAUUUAGAAAACAAUAGUUAUAUUAUAUCAUGUUUAUAAAAAUGUGUUGCUCAAUAAUUGUUUUUGUAAAAAUGUCUUUUUUAAAUAAUUACUAAUCAUCUAAUCAUGCUAAUAGAGUAUGUUCUCACUAUAAAAUUUUGUUGUUAUAAAAGAUGCUUAAAUUUUACAACAAUAUCAACUAUCAAGACAGCAUCAUGUGACAUCUUCAAUGAUUAAUACAUGUAGCUUUAUGAAGUUGACACAUGUAUUUACAAAAAUGUAGAUAAUGAAUGGCAAAGGGAGAUUACUCUAUUGCACGACAUGACCUGUUAUCAUUGUCCCUAGUUUCAGUAUUUUGUGUAAAAUUACACCGUAAUAUAGACCCACUUUAAGUUAAUAUGUGUAGCAGUGUAAAGUUUUAAUAGCUUGCAACAAACAU
rnacentral:lncRNA from 1 species